AUUGAACGCUGGCGGCAUGCCUUACACAUGCAAGUCGAACGGUGACAGGUCUUCGGAUGCUGACGAGUGGCGAACGGGUGAGUAAUACAUCGGAACGUGCCUAGUAGUGGGGGAUAACUACUCGAAAGAGUGGCUAAUACCGCAUGAGAUCUACGGAUGAAAGCAGGGGAUCGCAAGACCUUGUGCUACUAGAGCGGCCGAUGGCAGAUUAGGUAGUUGGUGGGAUAAAAGCUUACCAAGCCGACGAUCUGUAGCUGGUCUGAGAGGACGAUCAGCCACGCUGGGACUGAGACACGGCCCAGACUCCUACGGGAGGCAGCAGUGGGGAAUUUUGGACAAUGGGCGCAAGCCUGAUCCAGCAAUGCCGCGUGCAGGAUGAAGGCCUUCGGGUUGUAAACUGCUUUUGUACGGAACGAAAAGCCCCGGGUUAAUACCCUGGGGUCAUGACGGUACCGUAAGAAUAAGCACCGGCUAACUACGUGCCAGCCGCCGCGGUAA
rnacentral:rRNA from 1 species